ACUCCUACGGGAGGCAGCAGUGAGGAAUAUUGCGCAAUGGAGGCAACUCUGACGCAGCCAUGCCGCGUGCAGGAAGACGGCCCUACGGGUUGUAAACUGCUUUUAUCCGGGAAGAAUCCCCAGUUCGUGAACUGGGUUGACGGUACCGGAGGAAUAAGCACCGGCUAACUCCGUGCCAGCAGCCGCGGUAAUACGGAGGGUGCAAGCGUUAUCCGGAAUUAUUGGGCGUAAAGAGCUCGUAGGCGGUUUGUCACGUCUGCUGUGAAAAUCCAAGGCUCAACCUUGGACUUGCAGUGGGGUACGGGCAGGCUAGAGUGCGGUAGGGGAGAUGGGAAUUCCUGGUGUAGCGGUGGAAUGCGCAGAUAUCAGGAGGAACACCAAUGGCGAAGGCACAUCUCUGGGCCGUAACUGACGCUGAGGAGCGAAAGCGU
rnacentral:rRNA from 1 species